GAUGAACGCUGGCUACAGGCUUAACACAUGCAAGUCGAGGGGUAACGACGGGGAAGCUUGCUUCCCCGGGCGUCGACCGGCGCACGGGUGAGUAACGCGUAUCCAACCUGCCUCUGACUGAGGGAUAACCCGUCGAAAGUCGGCCUAAUACCUCAUGGUAUCGUCUGCGGGCAUCCAACGACGAUUAAAGAUUUCAUCGGUCAGGGAUGGGGAUGCGUCUGAUUAGCUUGUUGGCGGGGUAACGGCCCACCAAGGCUACGAUCAGUAGGGGUUCUGAGAGGAAGGUCCCCCACAUUGGAACUGAGACACGGUCCAAACUCCUACGGGAGGCAGCAGUGAGGAAUAUUGGUCAAUGGGCGAGAGCCUGAACCAGCCAAGUAGCGUGCAGGAAGACGGCCCUAUGGGUUGUAAACUGCUUUUAUGCGGGGAUAAAGUGAGGGACGUGUCCCUCAUUGCAGGUACCGCAUGAAUAAGGACCGGCUAAUUCCGUG
rnacentral:rRNA from 1 species